GUCGGUAUAUUAGUAUAUCAUUCAUAUCCGCUUUGUUCAUUGAUUCCUUCCAACUUUUGUUCAUCGUUUUCUCUUAGAUCACUCUACGACGUUGUCGUUUUGUAAGCUUCUCGAUGUAGAUCGUCACAAAUCCGCUUCCGAUCUACAGAUCGGCGUCUUAUAUGAAGAGAACCAGUUUCUCCGGUUCAUUCAUCGCAAGAAGACGGAUCGAAGAGCUCGAGAUCGACGACGAUCGGUUGAAAAACUGAUCUGGUCUUGUAUCAUGUAACCGGGCUCGAGGUUCGUCAGAUCUAUGAUUACGCGGUGCUGAUCUAUCGAUGAGGUGAUAAGAAAUCGUCGAUUCUUUCAGAUCGAGCUAAUUCAAAUCCGUGGACAGGAGAGAUUGAAGAAGAAGGGAGAGAGAAGAUUCAGAUAUGUGAAUUUGAUGUGAGUUAAGUUGAUGGAUGUAUGAGAUGUUUUGAUUAGGGACGAUACAGCCUUUUGGGGAUAUUACUUUGAAAGAGGCUUGAGUUCUGAUUAAACAUCUUUGUCAUCCGACCUUUGCCAUGACAGGUGCGCUUGCAUGGCAGGUCACAAAAUCCUUAAUAAAUAAAAAAAUAGUUUCGUGUUGGGGUGAGGGGAGUUCGCACGGGGGAUUUUUAUUUUUGCCCGGGUUCUCCCCUCUCUUGUGUGUGUGUGUCUUGCGUCUCUCUCUCUUACUCUUGACUACCUUGAUCUCGAUUCCUCCAAAAUUUCUCAGUUUCACAGAACUUAUCUCAAACUAUCCGGAUCCUAAAGACCAGCGGAUCUGGAGACAAGCCUGGCCAUACCUAAAUCCAACAUGCUCCAACGAAAAGGUACUUUUAAUUUUCGAAGUUUCAAUUCAAAUUUUAUGCUCUUUCUUUCUAUCAUAAUUUAACAGAUCUGCAUCAGUAGAACAAAUCUGACUCCAUCAGUAAUCAUACAUCCCCGAAUUGGCUUUAAAUUUUGCUUCAUACUUCCAUAUUGGUAGAUGAGAUCAUUAAUUUGCAAAGUAUUGUUGGAAAUGUUUAAUUGUCUGUUUGAUUAUUACAACAAAUAUUUGCAAUUUGCUAUUAUCGGAAACGCUGUUUAAAGAAUUGUAGAGAUGUUCUCUUAUAUUAUAAUAUUUUUAUAAUCUAUGUACAGAAGUAUUACAGUGAAAUUACUGUGUCGAAUUCUAUAGAAGUAUAUUUUAUCUUGUUUUGUAUGGCUUUUACGACCAUGGUUGCACUGGCAAGAGCGCUGGAGCUUUGGCUCAAGUAACUAAGUUUCCGGAGAAGUAAUACGAGUAUAGAGGGUAUCUUGUACAAGUAACCUGUGAUGAAUAUUGGCAUGGUAUGAUGGGGUUUGGAUAUAAUAUGAUCCCACCGCUCUUGUUAAUAUAUUUAUUGUAGUUGAUAGGGUUUAAGUUUUUGAAGCUUUUAUCCUAUUGUUGUAUUCAUGUGUUACGAGAGUGUGCUCCAAAAACUUUGCAUUCUAUGAUGGAAAUUUUUUCAGUUCGCGACAUUGGAUUCUUUA